GCUGAAUUAGUUUAAGUUAAAAAAUUGAAUGUUUGGGUCGUUUAGAUUAGUUUUCAGUU
rnacentral:tRNA from 1 species